rnacentral:rRNA from 1 species
CAGCAGCCACGGUAAUACGAAGGGGGCUAGCGUUGCUCGGAAUUACUGGGCGUAAAGGGAGCGUAGGCGGAUCGUUAAGUUGGGGGUGAAAGCCCGGGGCUCAACCUCGGGAUUGCCUUCAAUACUGGCGAUCUUGAGUAUGGAAGAGGUAUGUGGAACUCCGAGUGUAGAGGUGAAAUUCGUAGAUAUUCGGAAGAACACCAGUGGCGAAGGCGACAUACUGGUCCAUUACUGACGCUGAGGCUCGAAAGCGUGGGGAGCAAACAGGAUUAGAUACCCGAGUAGUCCCUGUCUCUUAUAC